CAGAAAAUAGUUUAAAAUGAAAAAUAUUGAUUUUGGGGAUCAGUGAUAGAGGUUAUCUUUUUCUGA
rnacentral:tRNA from 1 species